UACGUAGGACCCAAGCGUUAUCCGGAAUUACUGGGCGUAAAGAGUUGCGUAGGUGGCAGAGUAAGUAGAUAGUGAAAGCGUGUGGCUCAACCAUACAUCCAUUAUCUAAACUGCUCAGCUAGAAGAUGAGAGAGGUAGAUGGAAUUCCUGAUGUAGGGGUAAUAUCCGUAGAUAUUAGGAGGAACACCGAUGGCGUAGGCAGUCUACUGGCUCAUUCUUGACACUAAGGCACGAAAGCGUGGGGGAGCAAACAGG
rnacentral:rRNA from 1 species